CAGAACGAACACCUGGGCACUUGCACACGUGGCCGCCCCGCCGAGCUCUCUGUCCCUGGGAGCGGGAGCUGGGCACACAGCAGACGCCGGAUCUGUCCGUGCGGGGAGGGGCUUGGCUCACCUGCUGCUGACCUCCCAGGGGCUGGGAGCCAGUGUCUGCUCCCGGAAAAUCCCCAGGCCCAGAGCAGGCCCGCUCGUGCCCAGCGCGCUCUUUCCUGUCCGGUCCUGUCUGUUCCCAGGUCUGGGACCGACGGGGGCGCGGUCGGCAUGCAUGUCGCGCUCCGACGCCUGGCUCCACACUGGGACCGAGGUGCGUCAGUCUGCGCGGUCCGGACUUGGUGCAGAGGCGUGGGCGUGGGCGAGGGCACGUUGCUAGGUAGAUAAAUAUUGUUUAGUGCAAUAAAGAAAUGAAUCACCCAGCUUCUGGACUCGGCCACGCUUCGCACGCCCGCCGCUUUGAAGUGAGGGGUCGCCAUCGUUGUUACGUGAGCCAAGCCUGUCGUGUACAGGGGACUGAAAGCCUUUCUUUUCUGUGCUUUACAGCAAAAAGAUGAAGGUCUUAGAAUCGUUACUCGGAAUGAUUGAGAAUUUCCCUUAUGAUGACCCUACCUAUGCUAAACUUCACGAAGACCUAGACAGAAUUAGAGGGAAAUUUAAACAGCUUUGUUCAUUACUAAAUGUUCAGCCGGACUUUAAAAUUAGUGUGGAAGGUUCUGGACUUUCAUUUUGAGGAUGACAGAUGAACAAAGACAGAACGUCAAGGAA